UGAGCUUGAUCCUGGCUCAGGACGAACGCUGGCGGUAUGCCUAAUACAUGCAAGUCGAACGCUGAAGCACUCUGCUUGCAGAGUGUGGAUGAGUGGCGAACGGGUGAGUAACACGUGGGGAACCUGCCCAUAAGAGGGGGAUAACAUCCGGAAACGGGUGCUAAUACCGCAUAGGUGAUCAUAGCGCAUGCUUAGAUCAUUAAAGAUGGCUUCGGCUAUCGCUUAUGGAUGGCCCCGCGGCGUAUUAGCUAGUUGGUGAGGUAAUGGCUCACCAAGGCUGUGAUACGUAGCCGACCUGAGAGGGUGAUCGGCCACACUGGAACUGAGACACGGUCCAGACUCCUACGGGAGGCAGCAGUAGGGAAUCUUCCACAAUGGGCGAAAGCCUGAUGGAGCAAUACCGCGUGAGUGAAGAAGGUCUUCGGAUCGUAAAGCUCUGUUGUUAGAGAAGAACAAGAGGUGUAGUAACUGGCACCUCCUUGACGGUAUCUAACCAGAA
rnacentral:rRNA from 1 species